rnacentral:rRNA from 1 species
AAGCCCUACGGGAGGCAGCAGUGGGGAAUAUUGCACAAUGGGGGAAACCCUGAUGCAGCGACGCCGCGUGAGUGAAGAAGUAUCUCGGUAUGUAAAGCUCUAUCGGCAGGAAAGAUAAUGACGGUACCUGACUAAGAAGCCCCGGCUAACUACGUGCCAGCAGCCGCGGUAAUACGUAUGGAGCAAGCGUUAUCCGGAUUUACUGGGUGUAAAGGGAGAGUAGGUGGCAGGGCAAGUCCGAAGUGAAAACCCAAAGCUCAACUAUGGGAAUGCUUUAGAAAAUGCUCAGCUAGAGUGCAGGAGAG